rnacentral:tRNA from 4 species
GGGCGGUUAGCUCAGUUGGGAGAGCGCCACGUUCGCAACGUGGAGGCCGUGGGUUCGACCCCCAUACCGUCCA